rnacentral:rRNA from 1 species
GUAGGGAAUAUUGGGCAAUGGUCGGAAGACUGACCCAGCCAUGCCGCGUGCAGGAAGACGGCCCUCUGGGUUGUAAACUGCUUUUAUCUGGGAAGAAAAAGGCCAUGCGUGGCAAAUUGCCGGUACCAGAUGAAUAAGCACCGGCUAACUCCGUGCCAGCAGCCGCGGUAAUACGGAGGGUGCGAGCGUUGUCCGGAUUUAUUGGGUUUAAAGGGUGCGUAGGCGGCUGAUUAAGUCAGCGGUGAAAGACUUCGGCUUAACCGGAGCAGUGCCGUUGAUACUGGUUGGCUUGAGUGUCGGAGGGGUACAUGGAAUUGAUGGUGUAGCGGUGAAAUGCAUAGAUACCAUCAGGAACACCGAUAGCGAAGGCAUUGUACUGGCCGACAACUGACGCUGAUGCACGAAAGUGUGGGGAUCGAACAGGAUUAGAUACCCCGGUAGUCC